CAUAGGUGAUGAAAGCUGUGAUUAAUUACAUGCCAAUUACAUAAAUAUAUAUAUCCUUACCGACUUGUACUGUAGAUAGAGUUCUGUGAGUACGUCUAGCUGAUGAUACUUGGCUGAUGAUGAGAGCUGUUACCAUAUCCACGGACGAGAACAGAGUGGGGUUUCCACAGCAAUCGAGGUCCCAUGUUGAUUUUCCACGUCAUUUAUUACCCACAAUCCAUUUAUACUAUACAUUAUCUGUUGAUAUAUACUAAAGGAGUUGAUAAAAAAAAGUCAUAUAUAUUACUGAAGAAAAAAUUAUUAAGUCCUUUAUAUUUUAUAUGCAUUUCUUGAACAAUGAGGAAUAUAUUCCUCAUGGCGUCUCUGUGACGUAGAAUGUGGACGGCCUCUCCUCAUGACGUCACCAACUGUCAUAUGUUUUCCUCGUUAGCAGACGAUAUUCCUCAAAACGGCAGCCCUGCCUCACUCCCAUAGGAUCUACGCUAAAGAAAAUAAAAAUGAAAGUUUUAUUUACGUAUUUUUGAAGGCUUAUGCUAGUAUUAAAAGUUGUACAAUAAUUGUAUGGAAUGGAGAUGUUUUGUUUUAUUUUAAUUGGAGCCACUGAUCAAAUGUAUAAAAUAAAUAAAAAUAUCUUACUUGCGACGCUUGCGACCGCUGGAUUCCAUCCAACGUCGCUGGUUGGCUAGCGAUGACAUCACUUAUUAAGCUCCGCCCACUGAGUUACAUCCAAUACUGUACCUCAAUAUUACACACCAUGAAGUGGCAAAAGGGGCGUGGCUUAGCGAUCUCGAGAGUAGAGUUGCCAAUUAGUGAAUUCCUAUGGGCCUGCGUGAGGCUACCUGGUAUCUACCUACCUUGCGUUGAAAAACAUCACUUCUCGUCCCAUCAGCGAAGUUAAACAACGUCUUAUUCUGAUAUGAUUGUAUGGCUGUCGAGACGCAGAAGGACUGGUGCAGCAAGAGGACGAAUGUACACAGUGAUGGGUGGAUGACUACUGACUACUGUACACAGUGACCGACCGGACUCCAACAAGAAGAAGGAGGUAGACGAAUGUAUCCAGUACAGUGAAGGUGGAUGGAGAAGGAGUGUUGUACAGUACAGUAUUUAGAGACUGUACUGGAGACUGGCAGGAUUACAUGGAAACCACUGUAGCUAUAAUGGUCUAAAUAUAUUAGAAUAAAUGUUGUUGAAUAUAAAA